GACGAACGCUGGCGGCGUGCUUAACACAUGCAAGUCGAACGGAAAGGCCUGCUUUCCCUUGUGGAUUGCGGGUGCUCGAGUGGCGAACGGGUGGGUAACACGUGAGUGAUCUGCCCCCAACUUGGGUAUAAGCCUGGGAAACUGGGUCUAAUUCCCGAUAGGACUGCAGGGUGGUGCCUGUGGUGGAAAACGAUUUUCUAGUGGUUGGGGAUGAGCUCGCGGCCUAUCAGCUUGUUGGUGGGGUAAUGGCCUACCAAGGCGGCGACGGGUAGCCGGCCUGAGAGGGUGGACGGCCACAUUGGGACUGAGAUACGGCCCAGACUCCUACGGGAGGCAGCAGUGGGGAAUAUUGCACAAUGGGCGGAAGCCUGAUGCAGCGACGCCGCGUGGGGGAUGACGGCCUUCGGGUUGUAAACUCCUUUCGACCGCGAGGAAGCCACCUGGUUGGAAGGGUGGUGACGGUAGUGGUAGAAGAAGCACCGGCUAACUACGUG
rnacentral:rRNA from 1 species